GGUAAUAACCACCRCUCUUCUUGUGUCAGUCUACAGAUGCAGAGGCUGCAGGUCCUGGGGUGAAGCAGGAGAGGUCUGAAGGAGAGGACCRACGGCACAGCAGAGACAUCCAGACUGGAGCGCACCCUGUAGCCACAGAAGACCCCACCACCACCCCAGCACUGCCCAGGACCAGACACAGCAWCACGGAGGAGGAGGGUCCAGAGUUACUGCUGAUGAAGGAGGGGUGUGAGGAGGGUCUGGGUAACCCUGAGGGGACCAUGGUCAUGGAGGACAACCAGUCUACACCUCCCCCUGAACUCACAGAGGAACCAGCUGAGCAGCACAGGACUACACACAGUCUCACUGAGUCAGUAGACAUGGAGGAUGGGAAGCCUGAUCUGC